rnacentral:rRNA from 1 species
CAAGGACGAAAGUUAGAGGAUCGAAGGCGAUCAGAUACCGCCCUAGUUCUGACCGUAAACGAUGCCAACUCGCGAUCCGCCGGCGGAGCAUUUCGCCCUGGUGGGGAGCGUCCCGGAAACGAAAGUCUUCCGGUUCCGGGGGAAGUAUGGUUGCAAAGCUGAAACUUAAAGGAAUUGACGGAAGGGCACCACCAGGAGUGGAGCCUGCGGCUUAAUUUGACUCAACGCGAGGAACCUCACCCGGCCCGGACACCGUAAGGAUUGACCGAUCGACAGCUCAUUCAUGAUUCGGUGGUUGGUGGUGCAUGGCCGUUCUUAGUUCGUGGAUUUGAUCUGUCUGCUUUAUUGCGAUAACCGAGCGAGACCCACGCCUGCUAACUAGUCCGUGCAUUGCCAUUGUGCACGCCGACUUCUUAGAGGGAUUCGCGGUGUUCAGCCGUUUGAAAGUGGGCAAUAACAGGUCUGUGAUGCCCUUAGAUGUCCGGGGCUGCACGCGGGCUACACUGGCAAAACCAGCGUGCCUGUCCUGCCUCGAAGGAGGUGGGUAAACCCGGCAAAAUUUGCCGUGAUUGGGAUCGGAGAUUGCAAUUAUUUUCCGUGAACGAGGAAUUCCAAGUAAGUGCGAGUCAUCAGCUCGCGUUGAUUACGUCCCUGCCCUUUGUACACACCGCCCGUCGCUGCCCGGGACUGAGCCGAUUCGAGAAAUCCGGGGAUCGCCGGUCUGAUGUCUUCGGGCGUCUCUCUGGUGAGAACCGGCUUAAUCGCAUCAGUUUGAACCGGGCAAAAGUCGUAACAAGGUUGCUGUAGGUGAACCUGCA